GACGAACGCUGGCGGCGUGCUUAACACAUGCAAGUCGAACGGAAAGGCCCUGCUUUUGUGGGGUGCUCGAGUGGCGAACGGGUGAGUAACACGUGAGUAACCUGCCCUUGACUUUGGGAUAACUUCAGGAAACUGGGGCUAAUACCGGAUAGGAGCUCCUGCUGCAUGGUGGGGGUUGGAAAGUUUCGGCGGUUGGGGAUGGACUCGCGGCUUAUCAGCUUGUUGGUGGGGUAGUGGCUUACCAAGGCUUUGACGGGUAGCCGGCCUGAGAGGGUGACCGGCCACAUUGGGACUGAGAUACGGCCCAGACUCCUACGGGAGGCAGCAGUGGGGAAUAUUGCACAAUGGGCGGAAGCCUGAUGCAGCGACGCCGCGUGCGGGAUGACGGCCUACGGGUUGUAAACCGCUUUCGCCUGUGACGAAGCGUGAGUGACGGUAAUGGGUAAAGAAGCACCGGCUAACUACGUG
rnacentral:rRNA from 1 species